rnacentral:rRNA from 1 species
UACGUAGGGGGCAAGCGUUGUCCGGAAUCAUUGGGCGUAAAGAGCGCGUAGGCGGCCCGAUAAGUCCGCUGUGAAAGUCGGGGGCUCAACCCUCGAAUGCCGGUGGAUACUGUCGGGCUAGAGUGCGGAAGAGGCGAGUGGAAUUCCUGGUGUAGCGGUGAAAUGCGCAGAUAUCAGGAGGAACACCAAUUGCGAAGGCAGCUCGCUGGGACGUGACUGACGCUGAGACGCGAAAGCGUGGGGAGCAAACAGG